rnacentral:misc_RNA from 1 species
GAAAAUUAUGCGGAUUUUAUAGUUUACUAAUUAUUCACUGAGACAGCUUGGUAUUGCUGGAUUCUGUGAUUGAUACCUUAGCAAUUGUUGAUUCCCAACAAUUGUUGGCUUUAGUUGUGUCUGUUGCAACAGAGACGUUUAAGAAUGUAAUAGGAGGCGUCCUUCUUUUACUCCUUUUUAUUCUUUGAAAUGCUUCUUGUAA